rnacentral:misc_RNA from 1 species
UGGUCUCUGAGGGACCUGGGACACAGG